ACCUGGCAGCCACUCCCAGAGCCCCUGGAACUCUGGCCCAAGGCUCUCUGACUGACUCCUUCCCAGAUCUUCUCGGCUUAGCGGCUGAAGACUGACACUGCUCAAUCGCCUCGGAAGCCCCCUAGACCAUCACGGACCCCGAGCUUCGGACUCAGCCCACCUGCACCCAGGUGAAAUAAACAGCUUUAUUGCUCACACAAAGCCUGUUUGGUGGUCUCUUCACACGGACGCGCAUGAAAGCUACCAGAGCACCAAGUGACUUCAUGUAUCUGAGAUAAAUUAUAAUAAAGCAAUAAUAAUAAAAAUAAUGAUAUAGAAACUCAUAUAAUAAAAUUCUCCAAAUUAA